GCCAGACUCCUACGGGAGGCAGCAGUGGGGAAUAUUGGGCAAUGGGCGCAAGCCUGACCCAGCAACGCCGCGUGAAGGAAGAAGGCUUUCGGGUUGUAAACUUCUUUUCUCAGGGACGAAGAAAGUGACGGUACCUGAGGAAUAAGCCACGGCUAACUACGUGCCAGCAGCCGCGGUAAUACGUAGGGGGCGAGCGUUAUCCGGAUUCACUGGGUGUAAAGGGAGCGUAGACGGCCAUGCAAGCCAGGGGUGAAAGCCCGGGGCCCAACCCCGGGACUGCCCUUGGAACUGCAUGGCUGGAGUGCGGGAGGGGCAGGCGGAAUUCCUGGUGUAGCGGUGAAAUGCGUAGAUAUCAGGAGGAACACCGGCGGCGAAGGCGGCCUGCUGGACCGCGACUGACGUUGAGGCUCGAAAGCGUGGGGAGCAAACAGGAUUAGAUACCCCGGUAU
rnacentral:rRNA from 1 species